GAUGAACGCUGGCGGCGUGCCUAAUACAUGCAAGUCGAGCGAACGGACGAGAAGCUUGCUUCUCUGAUGUUAGCGGCGGACGGGUGAGUAACACGUGGAUAACCUACCUAUAAGACUGGGAUAACUUCGGGAAACCGGAGCUAAUACCGGAUAAUAUUUUGAACCGCAUGGUUCAAAAGUGAAAGACGGUCUUGCUGUCACUUAUAGAUGGAUCCGCGCUGCAUUAGCUAGUUGGUAAGGUAACGGCUUACCAAGGCAACGAUGCAUAGCCGACCUGAGAGGGUGGUCGGCGACACUGGAGCUGGGACACGGACCAGACUCCUACGGGAGGCAGCAGUAGCGAAUCUGCCGCAAUAGGCGAAAGCAUGACGGAACAACGCCGCGUGAGUGAUGAAGGUCUUCGGAUCGUAAAACUCUGUUAUUGGGGAAGAACAGAUGUGUAAGUAACUGUGCAGAUCGUGACGGUACCUAAUCAGAAAGCAACGGCUAACUACGUG
rnacentral:rRNA from 1 species